GAGGACAGGUUGAAGAGCCUACCUACCUUGAUGUUGUCCAGGUUGAAGAGGACAGGUUGAAGAGCCUACCUACCUUGAUGUUGUCCAGGUUGAAGAGGACAGGUUGAAGGGCCUACCUACCUUGAUGUUGUCCAGGUUGAAGAGCCUACCUACCUUGAUGUUGUCCAGGUUGAAGAGCCUACCUACCUUGAUGUUGUCCAGGUUGAAGAGGACAGGUUGAAGAGCCUACCUACCUUGAUGUUGUCCAGGUUGAAGAGGACAGGUUGAAGAGCCUACCUACCUUGAUGUUGUCCAGGAUGAAGAGGACAGGUUGUAGAGCCUACCUACCUUGAUGUUAUCCAGGUUGAAGAGCCUACCUACCUUGAUGUUGUCCAGGUUGAAGAGGACAGGUUGAAGAGCCUACCUACCUUGAUGUUGUCCAGGAUGAAGAGGCUACCUACCUUGAUGUUGUCCAGGUUGA